rnacentral:rRNA from 1 species
GAAGCUUGCUUCUUGGGUGGCGAGUGGCGAACGGGUGAGUAACAUAUCGGAACGUACCGGGCAGUGGGGGAUAACCAAUCGAAAGAUUGGCUAAUACCGCAUAUUUUCUGAGGAAGAAAGCAGGGGACCUUAUGGCCUUGCGCUGUCUGAGCGGCCGAUAUCUGAUUAGCUGGUUGGUGGGGUAAAGGCCUACCAAGGCGACGAUCAGUAGCGGGUCUGAGAGGAUGAUCCGCCACACUGGGACUGAGACACGGCCCAGACUCCUACGGGAGGCAGCAGUGGGGAAUUUUGGACAAUGGGCGCAAGCCUGAUCCAGCCAUGCCGCGUGUCUGAAGAAGGCCUUCGGGUUGUAAAGGACUUUUGUCAGGGAAGAAAAGGAUAGGGUUAAUACCCCUGUCUGAUGACGGUACCUGAAGAAUAAGCACCGGCUAACUACGUGCCAGCAGCCGCGGUAAUACGUAGGGUGCGAGCGUUAAUCGGAAUUACUGGGCGUAAAGCGGGCGCAGACGGUUACUUAAGCAGGAUGUGAAAUCCCCGGGCUCAACCUGGGAACUGCGUUCUGAACUGGGUGACUAGAGUGUGUCAGAGGGAGGUAGAAUUCCACGUGUAGCAGUGAAAUGCGUAGAGAUGUGGAGGAAUACCGAUGGCGAAGGCAGCUUCCUGGGAUAACACUGACGUUCAUGCCCGAAAGCGUGGGUAGCAAACAGGAUUAGAUACCCUGGUAGUCCACGCCCUAAACGAUGUCGAUUAGCUGUUGGGCAGCUUGACUGCUUGGUAGCGAAGCUAACGCGUGAAAUCGACCGCCUGGGGAGUGCGGUCGCAAGAUUAAAACUCAAAGGAAUUGACGGGGACCCGCACAAGCGG